GACGAACGCUGGCGGCGUGCCUAAUACAUGCAAGUAGAACGCCGAAGAGAGGAGCUUGCUCUUCUUGGAUGAGUUGCGAACGGGUGAGUAACGCGUAGGUAACCUGCCUUGUAGCGGGGGAUAACUAUUGGAAACGAUGGCUAAUACCGCAUAACAAUGGAUGACACAUGUCAUUUAUUUGAAAGGGGCAAUUGCUCCACUACAAGAUGGACCUGCGUUGUAUUAGCUAGUAGGUGAGGUAAUGGCUCACCUAGGCGACGAUACAUAGCCGACCUGAGAGGGUGAUCGGCCACACUGGGCCAGAGACCCGGCCCAGACCCGUAGGGGAGGAGCAAGUGGGGAUUCUUCGGCAAGGGGGCAACCCCGGACCGAGCAACGCCGGGUGAGGGAAGAAGGUUUUCGGAUCAAAAAGCUCUUUUGUAAGUAAAGACCGGGUGGGGGGGGGAAAAUUUCAACCGGGGCCGGUAGCUAACAAGAAGGGGAGGCCAAACUAGGUG
rnacentral:rRNA from 1 species